GACAACAUCUCCAGGACACUUCGCUCCAUGUGACUAGGCAGUUUGUGAAGACAGAUAAUCAAGAGAAGUCAGUUCCAGAUCCACCUUCCACACCAGACCUCUCUCUCACGAGGAUUGCUGUCUACUAGCAUAUUGUGUUCUCUUCAGACUUCGCCAGAUGCAGAUAUUACUCAGGGACAUGAACACUUGAAUAUUGCAAGAAUAGAGAAAGUAAGAAUUACUUAAGAUUUUAGAAUUUAAUGUUAAUUGCUUAAACAUAUAUACAUAUAUAUAUUUUUUUAGAUAUAUUUUUUGUGGCAGUGUGAACUGGCCAUAAUGCUGUAUGAUAGGUGUGAGAUUCAUUAAACUUGAUUUGCUAUAAUACAUCUGUUCAUAAGCUAUUGCAUAUUAUUUUCAAUGAAUUAUUUGUAGUGGUUUGGUUAAGGGUGUGAUUAGCUGACAUAUUAUUUGUGGGAGCUUGUGAUUAGUUGAUGAAUGUGUGCAUUGUUAAUGCUAAUAUUUAAAUGCAAUGUACUGAGUGCCUACUAAGACUUGCAUGUUGGUGCAUAAUGUUUUGACCCUGGAUGCUUACAGAAGGGUAUAGAUAUUUGAAUAUAUGGAAAUGUAUUUAUUAUUAAUAUAUCUCAAUCUAUGUGCUUCUGUAUGGGCUGAAUGCUUUCAAUCAUAUUUCGCUGUAUAUCCUAUGUUUUUAUUAAUAAUCUGGGUGUAUUACUGUUCAUAUUUGCUUGUUAAUAAAUUAACUGAAUUAA